GCCCCCAAUCCCUGCAUUUCCUGCACAGUCAGGGUGUCCCAGGAAGCUCUGAUCCCUUCCCCUGCAAAAACCCCAGAAUACUCUCAAACAACAGGAAUAGGGGCUUCUGUGGCGCCCUCCACACCCCUCUCUUGGCCACCGGAGAGCCUUGAGCUCCCACCACCACCACCACUCUCUCCAGCGGCUGGAACCGCCAAAGCCCGGUGUGGCGAGGGGUGCAGAAUCUGCUGCCCGGCGGGUCUGGGCGGGACCUUCUAGGCCGCAGGCACCUCUUGGAAAAAGGAAAGCGAUCCCUCCUUCAGGGACUAAGGUAGAGAGGCGGUAGGAAAAGGAGGGCAGUGGGCGUACGCACUAGCCAGCUGGAAAGAAAGUGUAGCCUUAGAAGUCUGGGACGCGUUCGGCCCCAGGGGUGGUAAGACAGGCUCCCUCCCCCGCCCCAUACAAGCCCCGCCUGGAUUGCCCGCCUGGGUCUGGAGUACUGGGGGUCACCUCCCAGCCUCCUGACCCUUGGACUCCACGGUAGGGCGAGAGUGGACCCCGCGUCCGAGGACCAAACCGGAGCGUGGGCCUCCACUUCUCUGCAGAAGAGCCACGAAGCAGAACCAGAGAGGACCGGUUAGAGAUCUGCACAGCUCAGAAGAAGAAAGGGAGGAAAGAAAGGUGGAAUCUCCAUAUACUGUCUGGCCCUAUAGCCUCAGGCUGGCUGGGGAUGCUCCUGCCAUGGCACACUGGCCUUGGAUAAACUGACCCCUGGGCCACCAUGAAACAGCAGCAAGUGCCACCUCUGAGCACAUGCCCUAAGUGUCUACCUAUGUCCUGAUGAGUCACCCAGACUGCUCACCCACUACCCCUGAAGCUCAUCUGCUGGGUCCCCAGCAACUUGGUAUGAUUCACCCUUGUUCUGCAGUUUCUGUCUGAGCCUACUGUGGGGAAAGACUGUUGCUUGGCCUUUGUAAGUAAAGAGCUUGCACGUCUC
ensembl:lincRNA A830052D11Rik RIKEN cDNA A830052D11 gene